rnacentral:ncRNA from 1 species
CGCGAUAAAGGUAAACCCUGAGCAAUCAGGGGACGCAAAGUAAAGGGUCUUAGCUAAAAAAUGGUUUAAACGGUCGAACGGUUUAAACCGUUUAAGCGGCUAAAAAUAAGACAGCCUUACUGCCGAAG